ACUCCCAUCCAGCUAAUGGCUUAGGCGGUCGGCCUUUCAAGCCGAAAAUACGGGUUCGAGUCCCGUUGGGAGCA
rnacentral:tRNA from 1 species